CCUACGGGAGGCUGCAGUGAGGAAUAUUGGUCAAUGGACGAGAGUCUGAACCAGCCAAGUAGCGUGAAGGAUGACUGCCCUAUGGGUUGUAAACUUCUUUUAUAUGGGAAUAAAAUGUUCCACGUGUGGGAUUUUGUAUGUACCAUAUGAAUAAGGAUCGGCUAACUCCGUGCCAGCAGCCGCGGUAAUACGGAGGAUCCGAGCGUUAUCCGGAUUUAUUGGGUUUAAAGGGAGCGUAGGUGGAUUGUUUAGUCAGUUGUGAAAGUUUGCGGCUCAACCGUAAAAUUGCAGUUGAAACUGGCAGUCUUGAGUACAGUAGAGGUGGGCGGAAUUCGUGGUGUAGCGGUGAAAUGCUUAGAUAUCACGAAGAACUCCGAUUGCGAAGGCAGUUCACUGGACUGCAACUGACACUGAGGCUCGAAAGUGUGGGUAUCAAACAGGAUUAGAUACCCGUGUAGUC
rnacentral:rRNA from 1 species